rnacentral:rRNA from 1 species
CCGUAACUAUAACGGUCCUAAGGUAGCGAAAUUCCUUGUCGGGUAAGUUCCGACCUGCACGAAUGGAGUAACGACUUGGGCACUGUCUCGGGAGAGGGCUCGGCGAAAUUGCAACCCUUGUGAAGAUGCAAGGUACCCGCAGCAAGACGGAAAGACCCCGUGGAGCUUUACUGUAACUUGGCUUUGGGUUUUGGUAAGUUCUGUACAGGAUACGUGGGAGGCUGUGAUGCUAGGUCGCAAGGUCUAGCGGAGCCAACGUUGGGAUACCACGUUUAAUUUACUGGGAUUCUAACCGUGGGAGUUAUCCUCUCAUGAGACAGAGUCAGGCAGGCAGUUUGACUGGGGCGGUUGCCUCCCAAAGAGUAACGGAGGCGUUCAAAGGUCACCUCAGGUUGGUUGGGAAUCAGCCGUUGAGUGCAAAGGCAUAAGGUGGCUUGACUGCGAGACGGACAUGUCGAGCAGAUACGAAAGUAGGACUUAGUGAUCCGGCGGUUCCGAAUGGAAGGACCGUCGCUUAUCGGAUAAAAGCUACCCCGGGGAUAACA